rnacentral:lncRNA from 1 species
GUACUUAGUUUUGUCAAUAGUGUCUCAUGUGCAUUUUCUGAGUGUGAAGAGGAUUUGGGUAGGCAAGACUAGAGAACAGCAGGAAGUCAUUGCCUAUUAAAUUUUUAUUUCCAGCCAUUCACUGAUGUAUUGGUAAGAGGACAGGAGUCCUGGGGAAAGACUGCCUCAUUUACACUCCAAAGACUUGGGUUCUGAUCUCCAUGUCGUGGCUUAUCAUAGUGUAAGCCAGUUAUGUACCUCUAGAAAUGGAAGUUUCUGCUGUUUAUAAACUGGAAAUAAUGAUACAUGUCCUGACUCCUAUUGGGUUGUUGCAAAGGAAUCAAUUGAAAUAAGACAAGACUUUCUGAAGGCACUUUGCCAACUUUCAGAACUGUAAAGAUUAAGGGACUGCUACUAUGUGCUGCUCAGGAAAUAACAGGCACCUGGGAAAACCCACGAAGUAAGGUUUUGUAAGAAGUUGCUCUGCUCCCUGGGAGAAAACGCGGAGCUCAACACUGCCAAGAGGAACAAGUCUGGGAAAUUACGACAUGAGGGCCCUUGUGAAUUGAUGAAUAUGAAGACACUAAGAAAGCAGAAAUAGAACUGAGAAGAAUGAAAUAACUGUCUCUACCUUUCUCGAAUUGUCUAAUAUGGAAAGAAUGAAAGACAGCUAAUAAGCAACUCUCUGCAAGAAGACAUAUGGCUUAGGUUCUGCUGAGCUAUUGGUGAUUUGAUUCCAUGCAUAUGUAUUCACUACUGGUAUAAGUAUAUACAAUAUAUGUGUUUCUGCAAA